GCUCCAACCACAGAUGGGUUUGAUGAAUUCAUGCAGUUUCCAAAGCUCAGAAGGCUGUUCAUAAAACACAACACUGCCCUGCCCUCAAGCGCUCCAGUAGAGAGGCUCUUUAGCAUCGGUGGUCUAAUAUUCAGACCGAGGAGAAACCGCCUGGGAGAUGCCAACUUUGAGAAGCAGCUGAUCUUGAAUGCCAACAAAAAGAUUUGAAGGAAGAAAAAACAGCAGAUCUACCAGGGAGAGACCACUGUGACCGAGGAUCUUCAUUCAGAUAAGGGAUUUUUGGGCUGGACAGAAAAUAACACUGUCCUUGGCCCUGCAUACUUUUCAUUUAUUAGUAUUAUUUUAGUUAUUUAUGUGGACUGUAACCAGUGACAGAUAAUCAUU